GAAAAGAAACCAACAGGGAUUCCCCUAGUAACGGCGAGUGAAGCGGGAAGAGCUCAAAUUUGAAAUCGCGUCCGGGUGACCGGGUCGUGAGUUGUAAUUUGAUGAGGUAAGCUUGGUGGGCGCCUGGGUCAAAAUCCUUUGGAAAAGGGUAUCAUAGAGGGUGACAAUCCCGUCUGUGACUCAGUCAGCGGUCUAUCGUGUAAGCUACCUUCAAAGAGUCGGGUUGUUUGGGAAUGCAGCCCUAAGCUGGUGGUAAAUUCCAUCUAAAGCUAAAUAUUCGUGAGAGACCGAUAGCGAACAAGUACCGUGAGGGAAAGUUGAAAAGCACUCUGGAGAGAGAGUCAAACAGCACGUGAAAUUGUUAACAGGGAAACGUUGGGCCCCAGUACGCGCCUCGCGUAAAAUCAACCAUCCCUUCCCCGAGGGUAUCCGGUCCGGGUGGAUGAGUCCUUAAUAAGGGCCAUUGCUCGGUCGGUGCCCGAGGGGGGUGGUGCACUUUUGCGUGGGCGGGUCAACGUCAGUUAGGAGCCACCGGAAAAUCCUGGGAGGAAUGUUGGCAAAGGAAACGGACCCACUUAUAGCCUCCCUUGAAAGCGGUGACCCUGACUGAGGAGUCGCAGCCUCAUCGUACGUAUGAGCCGUCUCUCUUCCCCCUAGGGUAAGGCAGCUUGCUGACUUGCCUUGGUUUUAGGGAGGGGAUAUACGUUUGUACUUGGUGUUGGUCUACGGACGUUGGCGAAAUGGAUCUCAACGACCCGUCUUGAAACACGGACC
rnacentral:rRNA from 1 species